GGCAGUUACUUAAGAAGCAAGGGAAGAUUUUUUGCCUAUAAAUAGGGUCUGUUUCAAGAGAAGAGAGAUAGAACUUUUUCACUGAUUCUACAUAGACUCACUCUCAUCAUGAGAAACCACCAUAUUUUCAUUCUUGUAAAGAGAAUCAAUUUCUUCUCUGACAUACUUGUAUCAGUUAUCAAUCUUGAAUAAUACAAACCCCUAUGUUCUGAUCGAAUUCUGACUUAUAAAACUCCCAGGGUUGUUGGGAUUGAACUGAGUGUAAUCACACCAUUUAGUCAAUAAUACAAACCCCC
rnacentral:lncRNA from 1 species